AGCGAACGCUGGCGGCAGGCUUAACACAUGCAAGUCGAACGGGCACUUCGGUGCUAGUGGCAGACGGGUGAGUAACGCGUGGGAACGUGCCUUUCGGUUCGGAAUAAUCCAGGGAAACUUGGACUAAUACCGGAUACGCCUUUCGGGGGAAAGAUUUAUCGCCGAAAGAUCGGCCCGCGUCUGAUUAGCUAGUUGGUGAGGUAAAGGCUCACCAAGGCGACGAUCAGUAGCUGGUCUGAGAGGAUGAUCAGCCACACUGGGACUGAGACACGGCCCAGACUCCUACGGGAGGCAGCAGUGGGGAAUAUUGGACAAUGGGCGAAAGCCUGAUCCAGCCAUGCCGCGUGAGUGAUGAAGGCCUUAGGGUUGUAAAGCUCUUUUGUCCGGGAAGAUAAUGACUGUACCGGAAGAAUAAGCCCCGGCUAACUUCGUGCCAGCAGCCGCGGUAAU
rnacentral:rRNA from 1 species